GAUGUUGCUUUCGGUGCUAUUCUUUAAUAGAUUGAUUUGGGUUUGUUUGUUUCUAUCAAUUUUGUUGCUUUAUGUUAUAGGGACUUUUGGGGUUUUUUAUGGGUUAUAUUGAAAUAAACAAUUUAACAUGUUUUAGUUAGCGUCUGUAGUUGUCGACUUUUUGGUGCAAAUUGUAACAGAGAGACAAUUAAAUGGGCGGUGAUGAUAUAAGAAAAUCCUCUAUUUUCGUUGUUUUGGCGUGGCAAUUUGAUGAUUUGCAGCCACAAUGAGGUAGUAUAUCUGAGCCUUCGAACACACGUCUAAGUAAACCAGAUGUGUUCAUAUUGAAAGUUUACUUUUGAUGGGUGCCGGUUACUCUCAUCGAUUGAUCUAGAAGACAGAAUGGGAGACUUGAAGGUGAUCUUGAACAACCGCAGCCUCAGACACUUGAAUCGGUAUUCCGGCGAGAGUUCGAAGUACAGGAAAGAGGAGCAGAGAAUAUGUGUGAGAAACAUCGAUUCAAGUUUGAUUUCUUCGAUUUUCCUACUACAGAUUCAAACACAAUGGAGACGAUUAGGAGAGCAUUGCACGCAGUUUCAUGGUACUCUAAUGAUCGUGUCAAAGACUUUUGGAAAUUAAAGACAGGGUGUCAGUGAUAAGGAUUACAAUUCUACAAAACUGAAUGAAGAUUUUGCUACUUUGGAACAUGUAUUGAACUUAUCCUUCUCGGUGAAGAUGUACAUCAACAUGAAUUCCCCAAAAAGAUUAAGAUGAAGUUUCGUUCUCUACAACAAUCGGUAAUUUAUUUUAAAGUUUUAUUAUAUACCAUUCAUCUUUAAACAUACAUUUAUUUAUUUUUGAGCAGUGUUAACUUUUUUACGCUUACGGUUAAUGUUUGUUUUUUUUUUUUGUCAUAUAUAUUGCUCGGUUGGCUAGGACUGGAGAUUCAGUGCUAAAGAUAAAGAAUUUUGGAAUAUGGUAUCAAGGGAUUUCCAUGAUAUCUAAGUAUCUGUGCCUGGAAAACCUCUUGUUGAUUACCAAGGAGCUAGGGAAGCAAAACCAAUAGCAGAAUUUGCAUUUUCACAGGUCAAGGCACUCCUAAGUGGAAAAACAACAGGAGGAUCAAGUGAGAAAUUAGAACCAAGUUUAUCAGUCGAACUGAAUUCGCGUAAUUUUGACGAAUUGGUUGUUAAAAGCAAAAAUCUCUGGAUGGUGGAAUUCUUCGCACCCUGGUAUUCAUUCUAUGCUUGAGUUGUUUCUUUAGCAAUGUGUUUUCCAAAUGCCCUUAUUUGUUGACUGUAAUACAUUGAAUAUUCUCCAAACCUUGUGAUCGCGCCCCACUGGGAUUUGAAUAAUUUUGUUUUUUUUUUCCAA